GGUUAAGCGACUAAGCGUACACGGUGGAUGCCCUGGCAGUCAGAGGCGAUGAAGGGCGUGCUAAUCUGCGAUAAGCGCCGGUAAGGUGAUAUGAACCGUUAUAACCGGCGAUACCCGAAUGGGGAAACCCAGUGUGAUUCGUCACACUAUCAUUAACUGAAUCCAUAGGUUAAUGAGGCGAACCGGGGGAACUGAAACAUCUAAGUACCCCGAGGAAAAGAAAUCAACCGAGAUUCCCCCAGUAGCGGCGAGCGAACGGGGAGGAGCCCAGAGCCUGAAUCAGCAUGUGUGUUAGUGGAAGCGUCUGGAAAGGCGCGCGAUACAGGGUGACAGCCCCGUACACAAAAGCGCAUGUGCU
rnacentral:rRNA from 1 species